rnacentral:siRNA from 1 species
AGAAGCGCUCUAUCAUCGUCUGU